AAUGAACGUUGGCGGCGUGGAUUAGGCAUGCAAGUCGAGCGCUCAUCAGCAAUGGUGGGAGCGGCGAACGGCGUAGUAAUGCAUCGGAACGUACCCUCUGGUCGGGGAUAGCUACGGGAAACUGUAGGUAAUACCCGAUGAACUCUGCGGAGCAAAGGUGAGAUUCCGCCGGAGGAGCGGCUGAUGUGAUAUUAGCUAGUUGGUGGGGUAAUGGCCUACCAAGGCGAUGAUGUCUAGGGGGUGUGAGAGCAUGGCCCCCCACGACCGGAACUGAGAUACUGUCCGGACACCUACGGGUGGCUGCAGUCGAGAAUCUUCCGCAAUGGACGAAAGUCUGACGGAGCGACGCCGCGUGCGGGAUGAAGGCCCUUGGGUUGUAAACCGCUGUCAGAGGGGAUGAAAUCUCCGGAGGUACUCCUCCGGAGUUGACAGAGCCUCAAAGGAAGCACGGGCUAAGUACGUGCCAGCAGCCGGGUAAAGUCGAUAUCG
rnacentral:rRNA from 1 species